rnacentral:rRNA from 1 species
ACUUUUAAUUUUAACUCUAUUUGUUGUUACUUUUCUUUUUAUUUUGAAAGGUUUUUUAUGUUGUUUUUGUAAAAAGUUUCUAUUUUUAGAUUUUUAGGAGAAAGGUUUAAAGUUUGUUUUUUGAACUGGAUUAGUACCCAGGUAAUCAAAAUUUAUUAAUACGGGAGUAAAGUUUUGUUUAAACCGAAAAAAUAUUGACUGACUUCAGAUUUUUCUUUGGAAUAUGUAGGUUUGGAAGGCCCUCCUUUUUGGUAAGUUUUGUAGGCUCAUGUAUGAUUGUUUAGUUUUUAUGUUUUUUGUGAUGCUUUUUCUUUUUAUGUUAAAAAACAGAUAGAUACUUGGUUUAUAGGCUUGUUUUUUAUGUGUUACUAUUAUGAAUUUUUUUUGGAUAUUUUAUUUGUUUUUUGUUGAAAUUGGAAAAGAAAGUAAUUUCUUUUUUAUGUGUUUAUGAAUUUA